UGGCUGAAAAGUCAAGUCAGAACUAAGGUUUGGUCUUGGAGCAGAGCUAAAAGGUAGGGAGAGGUAAGAUAAAGCCAGAAUCCUCAGAGACACGCAGAGGGAAUUGUCCUGGGACUUUGAGGCUGUUUGGCUGAGGUAGGUGAAGGGUUAGCUGUGUUGCAAAGAAGACCCAGUCAGCAAUGAAGUCAGACAUGUUUGGUCUCUCCCUGUCCUCAGCACAUUGCUGUGAACUGUCUAGGUCUUUUUGUCUUUAUCCUAGUUGCUAUUACUUCCUGACAUUGUGCUGUAUUCCCUGCCAUCAUCCAUCUUUCUCCUGCCAAUCACAAAUUCUUCCUGGGAUGGACCUCUGUGGCUUUUCUUCUAGAGUCUUUCUGUAUCUGAUCCUGGACACGCCCUUCGUCUUGCAGCACUGUCAAAUGCCUUAAAGGUCUGCAGCCUUGCUUAAACUCCAGUGUCUCUAGCUAGCUUCCAGCUUUAUUUUGGUAGUGACAGCUUUAUGUCCCUGUCACAGACUGAUAGAAGACCUGAAGAUAAAUAAGAAAUGGAUGAGGGGAAUGGGGCGAAGUAUUUACAAUUGACUAAGAUCACUUUUCAUCCCCAGAGCCAACUUCCUAAGCACACACCAGGAGCCCAAGAGAUGGAGAUAGCUGGGGGAAAUGGUGAACGAAUGAGGGAGAGAAGUGAGGAAGGAAGGAAGCUACCUAUGCUGAGUCAGACACUGAUGUUACUUAAUCAUCUCCAUAUUGUAUUCUUCACCACACAGACAACCGAAACCAAACUUCAAAGAUAUUAUCCACCCAAGGUCACACGGCUAGAAAAACUGCCAAAGCAUGUGUUUCCAAUCAACACUUGGUGCUCACCCUGUAAAUUCUUCAAGAGAAGGGGGAGAAUUAGAGAACCUGAUAUCAGAGAAAGCCUUCAUGAGCAAUCUAAGCUGCAGACAACCCAAGAGGAGAGCCAAUUCUUAGAAGAAUGGGAAGAUCAUCCCCCACUUCCUGCACUUUAUAUUCCUGCUUAUGCAUUCUGAGGUCCUGCUUGCUUUUUUAGGCUCUAAGUGCUAUCCUGCUGACUCACUUCCGACUUCUCCUCGUUCAUCAUGCUCAGCUCCUGAAAAUGGAAUAGGAUGGGAAGGGCCGGAAAUUGUACUGUCUGGUGCGAUGUUUAAGGGGACAGGCACCCUAUGUGGCUAGAAUGCUGGGAAUAUGAGCUGAGCCAAGCCCACAGAGUAUUUCUCAUCUGACUUGUGAUGCUUGACCUUGGAUUGUAAUACUAAUAAUAACCAUCCCACUUACUGCCACUGAUGAGGAGCCAAUAGGCUCCAGGCUACAUACUUUCUGUGGAUUGCCUGUUUGAUCACCACAGCUGAAGAAGUCAGGGAUCCUCUCUAUUCAGACAAACGCAUUCACUCUAAGAUAGGCUAAGGAACCUGCCAAGGUCAAGUAACUAGUAAGGGAGGGGCAGGGCAAAGUUUCAAACCCAUGGUCUAGAUCUAUGCUAUUUAAUGAAGUAACUGCUGCCACAAGCUCUGUAGACCAGGCUGGCCUUGAACUCACAGAGAUUAUAGGCAUGCACCACCAAUGCCCGGUGAAACUGAGUUUUUAAUUCAACUAAGUGGUGCUAUAUGUGUGUAAAAAUGCAUACCAGAUUUCAAAGACCUUGUAAUAUAUAUGUAUGUGUCUCUUUUCAAAUAUUUAUUGCAUAUGAAAUUUGCAAUAUUUUUGUUAUGUUGGGAUAAGUAAAACAUCCAGAUAAUUCUAAGUGUUCCUUUUAGCUUUUUUAUUUGCUUUUUUUUAUUUUUUAUUUUUUUUGGUUUUUUGAGACAGGGUUUCUCUGUGGCUUUG
ensembl:lincRNA